GAAAACUUCAACUCAGUUCUACAUUUCGAAGUUGUUGUCAUAGUUGGCAUGUUGCAUGACCAACUUUGUUGUCCCAGUGGUGUGUACUAGUUACCUCCCUCUCAAACGGGUAGCCUCACUUAAUGAUCACAUUAAUAUGGACAUGCUGAGAGCACGUGACAAAGCUCACCACUCAAGAAUAUUGGGUGGUGUUGGCAUUGGCAACAUAGAGACGGAUCUUCUCCGGCAUGUGAAAAAAGAAACAAACACGUCGGCGUCAACAAGUAUUGUCCUUGCAUGGCUUAGUAUGGUAACACACUGGAUGAAGCCAAGAGGCCAACACACAGCGCACACUCAAACACGUCACCUUUCUUUCAAUUCCCAUUUCAGCAAUAUGUCUUUCAAGGGGUAAAAAUGAUAUGACUGCCUACUUUAAUUUUUUCUUUGGCUGAAAAUGGUUAUUGAUGUUGUUGUUAUACUAUUCACAAAUGGGGUAUACUUCUCUUAUCCAAUGAAAAUGUGGUUCUAAUUGUAUAGAGAAAACUUAUAGGAAUUUAUAUUAGUGUAUCUCGAAUAAUCGAAUAGUUCAGAUUGUAUAGUCUAUUUCAAUUGAGAGAAUCCAUUUCCUGUUUAUAUAGUGUUUUGAUGACAGAGAAUAAUAGUUCAAUUGUGGUAUUUAGCUUUUAUUUUUAGGUAGGUGUGUUUGAAUCUAAUAGAUAUAGAUUCAUGAAUGGUGUUCAGACAAUUUUAUGAUAUUUAAGUUAAUAUUUAAUCAAUUAAUGAUUAAAUUGCACCCUCCCAAUUAAGAAAAAGGAAGCUAUCUUUCACAUAUACCUAUCUGUCACAUAAAAUUGCAACCUUUCUUGAAUUGUCAAAUAUUUAUCUAACACAUAAAACAUAUUCUUCAAGUCAAAUUUUAUUACAAAAACCUUGAGAAGGAUGACAUCAAUGGCGAGACUUUUAUCAUAAGAUUCCAUGCGGGGCCACCAUAUGAAAACAUUGUUUCCACAUUGUAAGCAAAGAAUGGGAAUAUUCUCACAAGAAAGGUUUUAAGUGCACAUUCGAAUGUGGAAUUCUAUUUGUAUACUUCAAUAUCAAACGGCGCCGCAUAUAAUUUCAGGCAUCGGUUCACUUUCUGUUGAGUUUCUCCUGAGAAAAAGCUUCAAGGCUAGCAUUUUAAAGAUCAAAUUGUAUGGGAAGGUGUUGCCACUAGAGUUUAUUUUCAAGAUAUUUGGAAGAACUAGUGUUACUUCCAGCAAAACUUGUAUAUUCAUUUACAUAUUACAUGAAAUUCAAAAGUUGAAAAAAUCAGUGAUGCGGUGCAAGAACACAAAAAAUGAAAACAACCAUUUUUUUUUUCUUCUUUUAAUUGAUUAUAUUUUUGUGGUCCAGUCUCAUGAACAAUUUCACUCAUAGCAAAGAUAAGUCAUGUAUUAAAUAUUGAGUACAAAUGAUCAAUUUUUUUA